rnacentral:lncRNA from 1 species
UGGGGGAUGGAGGGAUGGCGUCAGCGAUUCAAGACUGUUUUUCCUACCUGUUCAGCACUUCUUUCAGCGAUAUGAAGUUAAAUCCAGAUGUCGUCAUCAUCCACUUGUUCAAACAAGAGCCCAAGGAUCAUCCUAGAUUCCUUCUCACUUCCUCUCAAUCCAUCCCUGAAACAGCCAAACCACCAGCCAAGUUCCCACCUGGUGGGAAGCACUGUGCAGGUUCGUGGGGAUGCAGCCCUGCACAGCCCAGACUGGACUCCUUCCCCAUGGAACUCACAACACACGGGAGAGGCAGAGAGAUCCAAGCGCACAGAAAAACACAAGAAGAUUCAGCCCUGUCAUCUUGUGCAAAGUGAGUUCCACAUAAUUCAAUUAUAAAAUGAGAGAUUGUGUUUCUGUGA